GACAGAGGGUGCAAACGUUGUUCGGAAUUACUGGGCGUAAAGCGCGUGUAGGCGGCCCUGCAAGUCGGAUGUGAAAUCCCACGGCUCAACCGUGGAAGUGCAUUCGAAACUGCGGGGCUAGAGUCCUGGAGAGGAAGGUGGAAUGCUUGGUGUAGAGGUGAAAUUCGUAGAUAUCAAGCGGAACACCGGUGGCGAAGGCGGCCUUACUGGACAGUGACUGACGCAUGAGACGGCGAAAGCGUGGGGAGCAACAGGG
rnacentral:rRNA from 1 species